UACGUAGGGUGCAAGCGUUAAUCGGAAUUACUGGGCGUAAAGCGUGCGCAGGCGGUUUUUGUAAGUCUGUCGUGAAAUCCCCGGGCUCAACCGGGGAACUGCGUGUGAUACUGGCGGGCUUGAAUUCGGGAGAGGGAUGUGGAAUUCCAGGUGUAGCGGUGAAAUGCGUAGAUAUCUGGAGGAACACCGGUGGCGAAGGCGGCAUCCUGGACUGUAACUGACACUGAGGAACGAAAAGCCAGG
rnacentral:rRNA from 1 species